rnacentral:rRNA from 1 species
GAUGAACGCUGGCGGCAGGCCUAACACAUGCAAGUCGAGGGAGGAGCCUUCGGGCUUCGACCGGCGUACGGGUGCGUAACGCGUAUACAAUCUGCCUUUCACAUAGGGAUAGCCCGAAGAAAUUUGGAUUAAUACCUAAUGGUAUAUAGAUGUGGCAUCACCUUUAUAUUAAAGCUGAGGCGGUGAAAGAUGAGUAUGCGUUCUAUUAGCUAGUUGGAGAGGUAACGGCUCCCCAAGGCGACGAUAGAUAGGGGUUCUGAGAGGGAUAUCCCCCACACUGGUACUGAGAUACGGACCAGACUCCUACGGGAGGCAGCAGUGAGGAAUAUUGGACAAUGGUCGGAAGACUGAUCCAGCCAUGCCGCGUGCAGGAAGACGGCCUUAUGGGUUGUAAACUGCUUUUGCAGGGGAAGAAUAAGGACUACGCGUAGUUUGAUGACGGUACUCUGCGAAUAAGCAUCGGCUAACUCCGUG